rnacentral:misc_RNA from 1 species
CUGAAAAAAAAAAUAAUAGUAAUAACAAUAAUAAAUUUCACUCUCACAAUAUAAAAAUUGAUUGAUUUGAUUUGGGGAGAUUGAUAUAAUCAUAUAAUCAGAAAUUGAUAAAAUUAUCAUCAUAAAGAGAGAGAAGUAGAGAUUUGGAAAUGACUGAUUGGAUUUGCAGAAAUUGAUCUUCAUAAGAACAGGCAGCAGCAGUGCCAAUGGGAGGAGAAGGGAAUGGCAUUUGGGGGAAAGCGUACCAGGAGGUCUCCAAUACCAAGCCUUUGUUCCUUACGAUUUAUGCCACCGUCCUCGUUGGAAUCCUCUUCUCUUCCUUCUACGUUUUCUCCGCUGUCUACUCCGCCUCCGAGUCCUCCUCUCUCUCCUCCACUGCCUGGCUUUCCUAUCCUCCCUCUUCUCUUUCUCAUGUCGAUCAAUCCCUCAACUUUUCUCAUCAAGCAACACCAGCUGUAGGUUCGAUUACAUCAACGCCACGGCCUCCCAACAGCUUACAGGUUAAAUCCAUUUGGGAAGUUCCUCAACACAAUUCGAAAAUGCCUCCUAUCAAGAAAUUUAGACUCACAAAACAACUGGUUGAGCAAAGGGUCAAGGACAAUGUCAUUAUAGUUACCUUUGGUAAUUAUGCGUUUAUGGAUUUUAUCCUUACUUGGGUUAAGCACUUGACGGACUUGGGGCUUUCUAAUCUUCUUGUUGGUGCUAUGGAUACCAAGCUAUUAGAGGCUUUGUACUGGAAAGGUGUUCCAGUUUUUGACAUGGGAAGUCGCAUGAGUACAGCAGAUGUUGGCUGGGGCUCACCUACCUUUCACAAAAUGGGGAGAGAAAAAGUUAUUCUGAUAGAUGCUAUCCUCCCUUUUGGCUAUGAGCUACUCAUGUGUGACACGGACAUGGUUUGGUUGAAGAACCCUCUGCCAUAUCUUGCUCGCUAUCCUGAUGCAGAUGUUUUAACUUCAAGCGAUCAAGUUGUACCGACUGUUGUUGAUGACAGGUUGGACAUCUGGCAAGAAGUUGGUGCAGCCUACAAUAUUGGAAUUUUCCACUGGCGGCCAACAGAGUCUUCAAUUAAGUUGGCGAAAGAAUGGAAAGAUAUCCUUCUUGCCGAUGACAAGA